GGGCAGCAUACAGUUAACUUCUUCCACCUGAUGGGAUUUUCAACGUCUGCAAAACAGCUCAAAGGACGUGGCUCAGAAUAUUAUCUACAGUCCUUGAGGAAGAACUAAAGGAUAGUGGCAAAUAACGUCAUAACGGGAUGCCUGCAGGACAAGACUCCUCACAGAAAAACUGGUCCCCAAAGACGCCUUUUGAGCAAUGCUUAAAGCUCUAGGAUCUGUUAAAAGCCUCAGAACCCCACCGUUAAGACGACUUCUGGCUCGGAUGUGCCACGCUUUGAUACCACAUCAGAAUGGGCCCUGGGACACCUGGAGGAGGCAAAUGUGGAAGCAGACAGCACAGUCAGGAGCCUCUGCAGUUGUCUAGAUGAGAUGUUGGCGGCUUGGCCCACA